GUAGGGAAUAUUGGGCAAUGGUCGGAAGACUGACCCAGCCAUGCCGCGUGCAGGAAGACGGCCCUCUGGGUUGUAAACUGCUUUUAUCUGGGAAGAAAAAGGCCAUGCGUGGCAAAUUGCCGGUACCAGAUGAAUAAGCACCGGCUAACUCCGUGCCAGCAGCCGCGGUAAUACGGAGGGUGCGAGCGUUGUCCGGAUUUAUUGGGUUUAAAGGGUGCGUAGGCGGCUGAUUAAGCCAGCGGUGAAAGACUUCGGCUUAACCGGAGCAGUGCCGUUGAUACUGGUGGGCUUGAGUGUCGGAGGGGUACAUGGAAUUGAUGGUGUAGCGGUGAAAUGCAUAGAUACCAUCAGGAACACCGAUAGCGAAGGCAUUGUACUGGCCGACAACUGACGCUGAUGCACGAAAGUGUGGGGAUCGAACAGGAUUAGAAACCCGGGUAGUCC
rnacentral:rRNA from 1 species